GUGCAGUCAGAGCUGUAUAAAAGAAGCUCACGCUCAGUACUCUGGUAUCUUCUACAUCAACCCGUUCACAAACCGAGUGAAGCCAGACUUCUAAGUAACUUUCGGACUCUUUAAGGGUACUCUUGAAGAAAAAUGGAUCCUUGCGAUUGCGCCAAGACUGGAACUUGCAACUGUGGUGCCACCUGCAAGUGCACUAAUUGCCAGUGUAAAACAUGCAAGAAGAGCUGCUGUCCCUGCUGCCCGUCUGGAUGCAGCAAGUGCGCCUCUGGAUGCGUGUGUAAGGGCAAUUCCUGCGGCUCCAGCUGCUGUCAGUGACGAGGUCAACGUGAUGCUUUGUUACAGUGUGAACUUGUCCGUCUGGGCUGCGCGUCUUCGUUUUUGCAUCGCAUGAAUGUUGUCUUUUUACAAGAUAAUAAAUGGCCUCCUGUUCUCAAAUCUUAACUGUUUAAUGUUGCCAAAUCUAUUAACAAAGGCUAAAGAGAAACAAUGCACUGAUUUGUACUGCUACAAAUAAGACUAUCACACGAUAUCUGUUCUUCAUUUACACCACUGUAAGUUUCUGCAAUGUAUUUGUCUAUAAAAUAUAAAUGUCAGCAGUUA